rnacentral:rRNA from 1 species
CGGGCGUUAAGUUGCAGGGUAUAGACCCGAAACCCGGUGAUCUAGCCAUGGGCAGGUUGAAGGUUGGGUAACACUAACUGGAGGACCGAACCGACUAAUGUUGAAAAAUUAGCGGAUGACCUGUGGCUGGGGGUGAAAGGCCAAUCAAACCGGGAGAUAGCUGGUUCUCCCCGAAAGCUAUUUAGGUAGCGCCUCGUGAAUUCAUCUCCGGGGGUAGAGCACUGUUUCGGCUAGGGGGCCAUCCCGGCUUACCAACCCGAUGCAAACUGCGAAUACCGGAGAAUGUUAUCACGGGAGACACACGGCGGGUGCUAACGUCCGUCGUGAAGAGGGAAACAACCCAGACCGCCAGCUAAGGUCCCAAAGUCAUGGUUAAGUGGGAAACGAUGUGGGAAGGCCCAGACAGCCAGGAUGUUGGCUUAGAAGCAGCCAUCAUUUAAAGAAAGCGUAAUAGCUCACUGGUCGAGUCGGCCUGCGCGGAAGAUGUAACGGGGCUAAACCAUGCACCGAAGCUGCGGCAGCGACACUGUGUGUUGUUGGGUAGGGGAGCGUUCUGUAAGCC